GCUGCCCGUUUAGGGUUGUGACCCAGGAGUCGCUGUGGUUAUCAACUGCGAGAGCUCAAACGGACACAUGAGAAGCAGCUUUGUUUAGCGUCCUUGACAUAACUAACCACAUAUUAACAACAGAGCCUUGUGGUAUAGAGGCUCCUGUUUGUUCAGAAUCUUAAUAGGUGGGCUUUGUGCACAUGGAUUUCUAAUACUGCUUACCCUGUAUUUUAAGUCAAAGAGGGUCUUUGUGUGAAGGAUUCUCCACCUCCUUUUCCCUUUCUACGAAGGAGGCACAAAGCUGAUCAUUCAGUGGAGUCCAUUCUCACCAUGAGAAGAACAUUCUACUGUCAGCAGGCAGAGUGAGGAUGGAGACAUCACUGAUUCACUUGGCUAGUUCCAUGUGGGCAUUCCAUGUCCAUGGAUGAAUGGAUAAGUAACUGAUCCACAAGAGGAGG
rnacentral:lncRNA from 1 species